rnacentral:rRNA from 1 species
UACGGAGGGUGCAAGCGUUGUCCGGAAUCACUGGGCGUAAAGGGCGCGUAGGCGGCUCGGUAAGUAGGGGGUGAAAUCCUGCGGCUUAACCGCAGGGCUGCCUUCUAAACUGUCGAGCUCGAGCACGGUAGAGGCAGAUGGAAUUCCCGGUGUAGCGGUGGAAUGCGUAGAGAUCGGGAAGAACAUCAGUGGCGAAGGCGGUCUGCUGGGCCGUUGCUGACGCUGAGGCGCGACAGUGUGGGGAGCAAACAGG